rnacentral:lncRNA from 1 species
GAAGGAUGCCUAAUCUUAAACAUCUUUAGAUUUGGAACUAUCUUGCUUAUGUAAGAAAUAUCUUUGGACAUAAGCUAAGUGCGAGAUUAGAUAAGUACAAGUUUGUAGAGUACUCUAAGAAAACUAAUAGAUACUACUUCUACCAUCUCAUUGAACAAAAAGUAUUUGUUAAUAGGCACAUCAUUUUUUUAAAAAAUAAAUUCAUCU